rnacentral:rRNA from 1 species
AGGAAGAAAGCUUGCUUUCUUUGCUGGCGACCGGCGCACGGGUGAGUAACACGUAUCCAACCUGCCCUUUACUCGGGGAUAGCCUUUCGAAAGAAAGAUUAAUACCCGAUGGGAUAAUGAUUCCGCAUGGUUUGAUUAUUAAAGGAUUCCGGUAAAGGACGGGGAUGCGCUCCAUUAGGUUGUUGGUGAGGUAACGGCUCACCAAGCCUUCGAUGGAUAGGGGUUCUGAGAGGAAGGUCCCCCACAUUGGAACUGAGACACGGUCCAAACUCCUACGGGAGGCAGCAGUGAGGAAUAUUGGUCAAUGGGCGUGAGCCUGAACCAGCCAAGUAGCGUGAAGGAUGACUGCCCUAUGGGUUGUAAACUUCUUUUAUAUUAGAAUAAAGUGCAGUAUGUAUACUGUUUUGUAUGUAUAAUAUGAAUAAGGAUCGGCUAACUCCGUGCCAGCAGCCGCGGUAAUACGGAGGAUCCGAGCGUUAUCCGGAUUUAUUGGGUUUAAAGGGAGCGUAGGUGGACUGGUAAGUCAGUUGUGAAAGUUUGCGGCUCAACCGUAAAAUUGCAGUUGAUACUGUCAGUCUUGAGUACAGUAGAGGUGGGCGGAAUUCGUGGUGUAGCGGUGAAAUGCUUAGAUAUCACGAAGAACUCCGAUUGCGAAGGCAGCUCACUGGACUGCAACUGACACUGAUGCUCGAAAGUGUGGGUAUCAAACAGGAUUAGAUACCCUGGUAGUCCACACAGUAAACGAUGAAUACUCGCUGUUUGCGAUAUACAGUAAGCGGCCAAGCG